rnacentral:lncRNA from 1 species
UGUAAAAUUCUUGUAGAAAUUUGUUUCUUUAAUCUGUAGAUGUUCAUAAUGUUCUAUCUAUGUAAAAUUCAAUAAAAUUCAUUUCCAAAUCUCAUUUUUACAGAAUAAGCACAGUGGUUUCAGUAUGUAAAGUUUAUUUACAAAUUAUAUACAAAAAAAAAUUAUAAUCCAUAAAUACAUAUGGAGAAUAUAAUAUAUAAUAGAACAGCAAAUCCUUCAAUGGACAAGUGACAGUGAGUAACCAUAAAAGAAAUACCCCAGAAACCAGAUCCAAGUUAUCCAGAAGCUCUUCAUUGAUUGAUCUGCUUGUAGUAACCACUGGAAAGAAUAUCCACAAAGAAAUAUGAUGAAUCUUCUUUUCUUCAGAGAUCCAAUGAUCAUCAAAAUCUGCUGCUUAUCAAGUCUGGCUCAUUCUAGAUGUCCCUCAGUGUCCAAACUGACUUCUUACUCUCUGUGUCACUCCUAUCACAUGUAUCUCUAUAUAUAUAUAUAUAUCUCAAGCAUCUUUCAGGUCUUUGUGUGUGGCUUUCUUAAAGCCCUG